CGCAGUGCCUGUUCACCACGGCAGAUGAGCUUUCGUAUGCGCUGCUAAUGUUUUAUUCUGUAAUUUGAACAUUUGACCAGGCCUGUACAGCCCAGCUCAGGGUCCUAAUGAGAUGAUGAAUGGGAGCAUACGGAGUGAUGGAGGCAUUCAAUCCACCAGUGACUGCUAAUUUAAGCCGAGAUUCAUCAAAUGUGGGCCUGCACUCAGAUGCAUCUUCAUAAAAUAGUGCCGGGGUCCAGUGAAGAUGAAUGGAGAAGAAGAAAGGAAUAGGUAUCAAGCAGGCAUGGACACUACGCAUACAAAACAGAACCCAAACAAACACCCUGGGAGCUGAACAUUCAACACCAGCCAAGGAGCGCCUGACAGAGUGGACUGCCUUUGAAA